UCAACCGAGCAGCAGGUCGACUUGAACACCCUUGUUGCUCCCUCCUCUCCUUCCACUACCGUCAGCCUUGAACUCGCAGCUCGUCUACUCAACCUCAGCCUGCCUUCCACUACUACUAUAUGCUAGCUGCCCAUGUACUACUUGAACUGCAACUACUCGAUGGAUCCAAGAAGUAUGAACUAGAUAGUUGAUAAAACCCGGGAAAUGGGCAUCAACUCCUAUUUCUAGGGUCAUUUAUGAGUUACGUAGUAUAUAUACGUUUGCAAGUCAAAGCAAGAAUAUGGUAUGAAAUCGUUGAUAAAACCCGGCAUUUUGGGUUCAAAAACGACUCAAUAAGGGUCUCGGUCUGUAGCCUCAAAAACAACAUCUUUCAUAAAGCCAAUGAUUAACACAUUCGUUCUUUAGAUGCAGUUAUUAAGACACUCUCCAGACUUCUAAUACAACUACUAAACUGAACUCAGACUACCUUGACUACGACUAGCUAUUCAUACACGUGAACGAGAUCUAAUACUUCUAGUAGUAACACCGUAGUAUCGAAAGACUUGCAUACGACUAGCUUGAAUGAACUCCUCUCGGCAACCCUCAAGUUCCACGUAGUAUCUCUAACGACGGCUAGCAGCAAGAACUACUACGAAGAGAUAUUGAACUACGUGAACGAGUAAGAAUACUACUACGUAUGCGACUCUAUCGAACGACGGUAAACUCCACUAGCAACUAAUACGAAUUGAUAUUACUACUAUCGAAAGAUAACUAAUACAACUACGUAUAAAAACUAGCUACUAGAAUAGACUACGACUAACGAGUUCUUCAACUUCCACGUACUUGCUAUCGAAAGACUCCACGAAUCAAGUAAGAGAGCUUGCAGUCCAAUUACUUCUAAACGUAGUAACACCUACGAUCGAAAGACUUGCAUACGAGGUUAUUGACAACUACGUGAACGACUGACUCAACAACUACGUCACUCCUUUCGACGGUAAGGCUAGCUACUCAUACGAAUUGCUAUUCAUACUCUCGAUAGACUACUAAUAUGAAUACGUAACUCAGACUCAGACUCCAAUACGAGUACUGGCUUUCCUCUUUCGACUACUCUACUGACUGCACUGGCUUGGCCCUACCGGCAACUGGGUACUGCCCUCUACUGCCCCGCCUCAAUCCCAGUUCGAACAGCUCGAUGGUUGGUUUGGCAUCUACUAGCUACUAGCACUGAAUGAAACACUAGUCAACUCGAAGGUGGUUUGGGCAUCGGCAACUACUAGCUCACCUUACCGGACCUAGCCCAACGACUAUAGCGAGCCCCCCUGCCCGGCUUCUCUCGUUACUACUAGCUCUACUGUAUGAAAUGAACUACUAGCCCCUGCCCGGCAACACCUGCCUAGCUAGCUUGAAACCACCACUAGCACUACUAUAGCGACUGCUGCAUAGGGCUUGCAUCCAUUCCCCUACUAUAUAGCUACUACUGAGCUGGGUGAACACAGUGGUUUGAAAGGUUGCCUCAACUAACUACCUAGCUGCAACUGGGUCCUUGCACCCAACCGCCUAGGCCAGCUUCCCAACUAGCUAUACUGACAUACCUCAUGUCCAACUAGUCCCCUUACCGGAACGACUAGCCCAACGACGUGGCCGACCCUAGCUGCCUUGCCCGGACUAGCUGCUUGGCAACUCGAUUGGUCUACUGCCCACCCCGCUCUCGAUUUGGUAAUCAACCGUCCUACUAUGCCUCCAACAGCUCCCCCGGUCUUGCAACCAUACCUUCUACUUAACUAGUACCUGCCGCUUCUACUCCCAGCUCCAACUACUAGGCACAGGCUUGAUGGUGAUGGUCCCACUACUAGCAUCCGUCCCGACCCGCCUACUAAUACUAGCUUCGGAGGAUAAGCCCGGCCCCAUGCCCCAACUACUAGUGGUUGACAUAUCAAUCGAGCAACUCGCACUAGCCCAUCCGCAUUGAACUCCUCUCUCAAGCGUUAUUCAACAACUACGUACUUGCUACUGACUUUCGAUAACUACUAUUCUUAUUAAGACACUAUCGAGUAAGAAUAUGAAUACGUAUUAUGUUGUUAAUACUAGCUACUACGACUUCUUCAAUCAACAACUACGUAUGAGCUAUCGUCAUAACUCUAAUACGAAUUUCUUGAUAGACUCUCUCAAGCCGUAAUUCAAGUUAUAGUAGUAACACCGGUACGGGUAACUCACUUUCGAACAUACGAUUAGAUUGACUACUACGUUAACGACAUCUUCAACUACUACGUACGAGGGUCAGGCUAGCAAGAACAACUA
rnacentral:lncRNA from 1 species